UUAGUCAUGAUUAAAUGCGCCGGUA
rnacentral:piRNA from 1 species